rnacentral:rRNA from 1 species
UGCCAGCCGCCGCGGUAAGACGGAGGGCGCAAGCGUUGUUCGGAAUUACUGGGCGUAAAGCGCGGGCAGGUGGUCUUUUAAGUCUCCUGUGAAACUCCGGGGCUCAACCCCGGACAUGCAGGAGAUACUGGAAGACUAGAGACCGGUAGAGGCUAGCGGAAUUCCUGGUGUAGCGGUGGAAUGCGUAGAUAUCAGGAAGAACACCCGUGGCGAAGGCGGCUAGCUGGGCCGAGUCUGACACUCAUCCGCGAAAGCGUGGGGAGCAAACAGGAUUAGAUA